UACGUAGGGUGCAAGCGUUGUCCGGAAUUAUUGGGCGUAAAGAGCUCGUAGGCGGUCUGUCGCGUCUGCUGUGAAAACUCGGGGCUUAACCCCGGGCCUGCAGUGGGUACGGGCAGACUAGAGUGCGGUAGGGGAGACUGGAAUUCCUGGUGUAGCGGUGAAAUGCGCAGAUAUCAGGAGGAACACCGGUGGCGAAGGCGGCAUCCUGGACCAUUACUGACGCUGAGGCGCGAAAGCUAGGGGAGCAAACGGG
rnacentral:rRNA from 1 species